CCCUGAUGGCCAGGAUGGUCCAGCAGGUUCCAGUCCAGCGUGGCGUCGUGGUUCCAUUCCGCGGGCUGGGCC
rnacentral:tRNA from 1 species